UACGUAGGGGGCGAGCGUUGUCCGGAUUUACUGGGCGUAAAGGGUGAGUAGGCGGUUGUAUAUGUCAGGUGUAAAAGGCUAUGGCUUAACCAUGGUUAGCACUUGAAACUGUACAACUUGAGUGCAGGAGGGGUAAGUGGAAUUCCUAGUGUAGCGGUGAAAUGCGUAGAUAUUAGGAGGAACACCAGUGGCGAAGGCGACUUACUGGACUGUAACUGACGCUGAGUCACGAAAGCGUGGGUAGCAAACAGGAUUAGAUACCCGCGUAGUCCCUGAG
rnacentral:rRNA from 1 species